rnacentral:rRNA from 1 species
GGUAGCCGGCCUGAGAGGGCGACCGGCCACACUGGGACUGAGACACGGCCCAGACUCCUACGGGAGGCAGCAGUGGGGAAUAUUGGGCAAUGGANGRAACUCUGACCCAGCGACGCCGCGUGCGGGAUGAAGGCCUUCGGGUUGUAAACCGCUUUCAGCARGGAAGAAGCGAAAGUGACGGUACYUGCAGAAGAAGCACCGGCUAACUAUGUGCCAGCAGCCGCGGUAAUACAUAGGGUGCAAGCGUUGUCCGGAAUUAUUGGGCGUAAAGAGCUCGUAGGUGGUUNGUCACGUCGGAUGUGAAAAUCUGGGGCUYAACCCCAGACCUGCAUUCGAUACGGGCNAGCUAGAGUGUGGUAGGGGA